UACGUAGGGUGCGAGCGUUAAUCGGAAUUACUGGGCGGAAAGCGGGCGCAGGCGGCGCGUUAAGACAGGUGUGAAAGCCCCGAGCUUAACUUGGGAAUUGCGCUUGUGACUGGCGUGCUGGAGUGUGGCAGAGGGAGGUGGAAUUCCACGUGUAGCAGUGAAAUGCGUAGAGAUGUGGAGGAACACCGAUGGCGAAGGCAGCCUCCUGGGCCAGCACUGACGCUCAUGCACGAAAGCGUGGGGAGCAAACAGG
rnacentral:rRNA from 1 species